rnacentral:rRNA from 1 species
GACAGAGGUGCCAAGCGUUAGGCGGAAUCACUGGGCUUAAAGCGUGUGUAGGCGGAUCGUUAAGUACCUCGUGAAAUCCCACGGCUCAACCGUGGAACUGCUGGGUAUACUGGCGAUCUUGAGCCACCUAGGGGCGAGCGGAACAAGCGGUGGAGCGGUGAAAUGCGUAGAUAUCGUCUGGAACGCCAAAGGUGAAAACAGGUCGCUGGGGCUGAGACACGAAAGCCAGGGGAGCGAACGGG